GCCUUCGUGGUGUAGUGGUCAGCACGCUUUGCGCGUAUUCCAGAGAUCCGAGGUUCGAGUCCUGGCGAGGGCA
rnacentral:tRNA from 1 species